CGGCCACGUGGGCUGGGGCGGCGUGCCAGGGUCCCCAGGGCACGGCUGGACCUCAGGCGCCAGCGGGACACCGACCCGACCCGACUUGGAAUCCCCGUCCGCCGGCGAGCCCGGGCGACCUGGACGCGGCGGCCGCGGCCGAGCCUCAGGUUCCCGUCCAAGAUAAUGGUCCCUGCUGAGCCUGGAACGGUCCCUGCUCUUGGCACCAAGGACUGGAGGAAGCACACGGUAACUGCAUGCUCCUCAAGAGACCCCCCCACACCCUGGCAUAUGCUCAUACCAUGUCUCUGUCAGAAAGUAAAAAUCGAACCCAAAGAAGCUUGAGACGUGCUCCCUUGUGGACUGCGGGGCUGGGACCAAGCCCUAGUCUCUCACGUGCACCUGCUUAUCCCGUGGACGCCUUUGAAUAAGCUGAACUUUGUUAUAAUUGGGGAGAGAAUUGCUUCCUUUCAAGACUCUGACACUCAGCAAAUAAACCUCAUUCCCUGCCUCUGUGUUUGUCUCGUCUGAACAUUCCUGCACGGAAAUGUCUGCCCAAAGCAUGCUGCUCCCCGCACUUCGCAGGGAGACGCCCAGGGACUUGUGCCUGCGGCACUUGCUGACCUGGGCGGUGUCUGUCUCUCCGGGGCACCUUGGUCCAGCUACACACACCUAGUUUCCUUUCAUAUUGAAAAUCAAAAUUCUAGAACUAGCAUCCUCAAGGUUUAAGAGUAUUAAGAUACAGUUGUGAGGCCUUGAGAUUUUUCUAGCAAGGACAUGCAAUAUAGCGCCACCUACUGGUUAACAGGGCUUUCUGGGUUACUUUUUGGGGCCACUUAGAAUUUUUGAUAGAGAAUGGUAUAGAGGACACAGAGCCCUAGAUCAAAAGUCCUCUUAAAGAAGAAAUUGCAGAGGAGUAACGUGAAUUGUAGGUUAAGACUUGGGAAGUGGUGAGCCAGAAUGACAAGCUGACCUAGGCCUCUGUAUUAGAGCAAACCUUAAAAAUGUAUCUGAAGAUCUUAAACAUGUCAGAGAUUAUCUUUUUAAUCUUGAAAUAUCUUUUCCCUGACAAAAUGGUGAACUUGGGAAGAAACUUUAGAUUCUAUAAAGGUUAAAAAAUCACU